rnacentral:lncRNA from 1 species
AUAUAAUCUUCAUAUAGCUUGUUUGUACAUAUUUGUUUGCAUAUCUAUUCCAUGCUAUUAAUUUCUUGAGAAAAAUAAUGCUUCCUCUCCACCCCCCCCCUUCCUUCUUUGCAUCUCUAAUACUUAAGCAUAGUGUUUGGAAUAAGAUAAAUGUUUAAAGAAUGUUGCUUGCUUGUUUGACAUUGGGACACAUUUUUUUUAUUAUUACUACUAAUUACUUCAUAUCUUUCUCACUUUCCACAGUCUUUCAAAUAUCUCUGAAUGUGACAAAGUUGGAUCACAUGUACCAGUUCUUUCAGGGUCUAAGAUAUUGUUCAUCUAGGCCAUGUGACUUGAACUCAACACAGAAACAAAUAUAUUCUUUAGAACAUGUUGCUGUAUUCCUGUCCUUUUACUCUUCCAGAUUUUCUUUAGGCAUUAUAUUUUCCUAUUUUAAGGGAAUUUGAUACUUUAAGGCCAUCAACUAAUCUUCUGAACAGGAGGUAUGCAAAGGACCUAUUUCAUUAUUAUGGUUUUUAUAGUUCAGAUUCAAAUGUAUUCCUGGUCUCCACUCAGUUCCCAGACUGUGAUUGACCUCAUGCACUCCAACCAGAGCCUGUGGGCAGUUCUGCUACUGCAACUGCAAGCAGUCAGUCCACCUCCCUCUAUGACAACAACCAUGGACUUUAUUCUCCUAAGAAUGACCACAACUGACCUCAGCAAACACACUCACAGGAGGGACAGAGUCAAGACAUCAGAGAAAGUACACAGAUCCAUCUUGAUCUCUACUAAAUUACUCUCCUGCUAUAACAUUAAAAAUGAAUUCUGAAACAGCAUAACUCACAAAAGGGUGGGGUGAAAUAAAACUUUAGUAAAAAAGAAAACA